rnacentral:rRNA from 1 species
GUGGGGAAUAUUGGACAAUGGGCGAAAGCCUGAUCCAGCCAUGCCGCGUGUGUGAAGAAGGUCUUCGGAUUGUAAAGCACUUUAAGUUGGGAGGAAGGGCAAUAAGUUAAUACCUUGCUGUUUUGACGUUACCGACAGAAUAAGCACCGGCUAACUUCGUGCCAGCAGCCGCGGUAAUACGAAGGGUGCAAGCGUUAAUCGGAAUUACUGGGCGUAAAGCGCGCGUAGGUGGUUUUGUAAGUUGGAGGUGAAAUCCCCGGGCUCAACCUGGGAACUGCCUCCAAAACUGCAUGACUAGAGUACGGUAGAGGGUAGUGGAAUUUCCUGUGUAGCGGUGAAAUGCGUAGAUAUAGGAAGGAACACCAGUGGCGAAGGCGACUACCUGGACUGAUACUGACACUGAGGUGCGAAAGCGUGGGGAGCAAACAGGAUUAGAAACCCUUGUAGUCC